rnacentral:rRNA from 1 species
AGAGUUUGAUCCUGGCUCAGGAUGAACGCUGGCGGCGUGCCUAACACAUGCAAGUCGAGCGAAGCGAUGUUAAGGAAGUUUUCGGAUGGAAUUAAGAUUGACUUAGCGGCGGACGGGUGAGUAACGCGUGGGUAACCUGCCUUAUACAGGGGGAUAACAGUUAGAAAUGACUGCUAAUACCGCAUAAGCGCACGGGAACGCAUGUUUCUGUGUGAAAAACUGAGGUAGUAUAAGAUGGACCCGCGUCUGAUUAGCUAGUUGGUGGGGUAACGGCCUACCAAGGCGACGAUCAGUAGCCGGCCUGAGAGGGUGACCGGCCACAUUGGGACUGAGACACGGCCCAAACUCCUACGGGAGGCAGCAGUGGGGAAUAUUGCACAAUGGGGGAAACCCUGAUGCAGCGACGCCGCGUGAGUGAAGAAGUAUUUCGGUAUGUAAAGCUCUAUCAGCAGGGAAGAAGCAAGACGGUACCUGACUAAGAAGCCCCGGCUAACUACGUGCCAGCAGCCGCGGUAAUACGUAGGGGGCAAGCGUUAUCCGGAUUUACUGGGUGUAAAGGGAGCGUAGACGGUAUGGCAAGUCUGAAGUGAAAGCCCAGGGCUUAACCCUGGGACUGCUUUGGAAACUGUUAGACUAGAGUGCUGGAGAGGUAAGUGGAAUUCCUAGUGUAGCGGUGAAAUGCGUAGAUAUUAGGAGGAACACCAGUGGCGAAGGCGGCUUACUGGACAGUAACUGACGUUGAGGCUCGAAAGCGUGGGGAGCAAACAGGAUUAGAUACCCUGGUAGUCCACGCUGUAAACGAUG